AGUGACGGUUAACGGGGAAUUAGGGUUCAAUUCCGGAGAGGGAGCCUGAGAAAUGGCUACCACAUCUAAGGAAGGCAGCAGGCGCGCAAAUUACCCAAUUCUAACAGUAUAAGAGAGGUAGUGACAAGAAAUAACAGUACAAGGCAGUUAAAAUGCUUUGUAAUUGGAAUGAUAGAAAUUUAAAUACUUUUUAAAGUAUCAAUUGGAGGGCAAGUCUGGUGCCAGCAGCCGCGGUAAUUCCAGCUCCAAUAGCGUAUAUUAAAAUUGUUGCAGUUAAAAAGCUCGUAGUUGAAUUUUUGCUAAAAAUAACCGGUCUGCUUUUAUUUAUAAAAGUGGUAUCUUGGUGUGUUUUUAGCAAUAAUGUCCUUUGAAAUGUUUUUUACUUUAUUGUAAAAAGCAAUUUUUUGGAUUUUUACUUUGAGAAAAUUAGAGUGUUUCAAGCAGACUAACGUUUUGAAUACUGCAGCAUGGAAUAAUAAAAUAGGAUUUUAGUUCUACGUUAUUGGUUUUAAGAACUAAAUUAAUGAUUGAUAGGAGCAGUUGGGGGCAUUUGUAUUUAACUGUCAGAG
rnacentral:rRNA from 1 species